AUCUAUCCUUCUCCUGUAAACUCUCUUCUUCUCUCAAUUCUACUCACAGAUCUACACAAAAAUUACACUGAAUACCUCUCUGGAAGUUUGGGAUAUUACACUUGGAUGACAAAGCAAUCUCUUUAAUACGUGGACUUUGGUAUGUUCUUUCUGUUCUAAACUUUUGAUGAAUAUGAUAAGUGUGAAUGAUUAAUGUAGCACGUCUAUUCAUUGAACAUGGAACAGGCAUCUAAAAGACCAUUCCAGAAUACCUGAGAUUAACAAAUCUCUUGUUUUGUAAUUUUAUGAUGCAUGCAGCCACAUAUAUUGAGGAUGUUCUCUGGUGUUGGCACAUUUACAUGUGAUGUUGGAGGGUGUAUGAUUCACAAUCGUAGU
rnacentral:lncRNA from 1 species